GCUCUCACUUUGGCAGCACAUAUACUAAAAUUGGAACGAUACAGAGAUGAGCAUGGCCCUGUGCAAAGGUGACAUGCAAAUUCGUGAAGCUUCCACAUUUUUU